rnacentral:rRNA from 1 species
ACUCCUACGGGAGGCAGCAGUAAGGAAUAUUGGUCAAUGGACGCAAGUCUGAACCAGCCAUGCCGCGUGGAGGAUGAAGGACCUCUGGAUUGUAAACUUCUUUUAUCUGGGAAGAAACCUGUCUUUUCUUGGGCAGCUGACGGUACCAUAUGAAUAAGCACCGGCUAACUCCGUGCCAGCAGCCGCGGUAAU